GAUGAAGAACGCAGCGAAAUGCGAUAAGUAAUGUGAAUCGCAGAAUUCAGUGAAUCAUCGAAUCUUUGAACGCACAUUGCGCCCGCCAGUAUUCUGGCGAGCAUGCCUGUUCGAGCGUCAUUUCAACCAUCAAGCCCCAGGCUUGUGUUGGAGCCCUGCGGCUGCCGCAGCCUCCCAAAACCAGUGGCGGGCUCGCUAUCACACCGAGUGCAGUAGUUUACUCUUCGCUCAGGGCGUGUGGCGGGUGCUAGCCGUGAAACCCCCAACUUCUCAAGGUUGACCUCGGAUCAGGUAGGAAUACCCGCUGAACUUAAGCAUAUCAAUAAGCGGAGGA
rnacentral:misc_RNA from 1 species